UGGAUGGAGGAAAGCUCUUGAUAUGUGAGACCAAGCAAUCCGUAUGUAUGACAUGCAAACAUCCCAAUCGAGUAGUUUGAGGACCAACUCCUUCCUCGAGUGUAGCAUGACACAGGCAGCAAUUUGGAGGCCAAUCAUAAUCUCCAUUCAAUACCCACUCUGAAUAGGUACGAACCACGCAUAUUUGGUGUUCUGGGAAACAAA
rnacentral:misc_RNA from 1 species